UGUGGUUGCGGUACUGUUUUACAGUACUGAGGAACUUCCGGGCUCCACAGAGCACAAUGGCGGAUAACGUCCGCCCAGGGCGACCUGAGAGAUAGCGCAACAGAAAGCAGACCGCCCCCAUACCCGGUAUGGGAGUAAGGGUGAAACGGCGGUGUAAGAGACCACCGGAUCUGCGGUAACGCAGACCGCACGGCAAGCCUCAUUGGGAGCAAGGCCAAGCAGAAGGCAUAUGGGCUGCUCGCUCACGUCUUCGGGUAGGCUGCUGGAGCUUAGCGGCAACGUUAAGUCGAGAUGGAUAACCACACGUAUGCUUUGCAUAACGACAGAACCCGGGGUAUAAGAGGUCUC
rnacentral:RNase_P_RNA from 1 species